CCCUUAGAUGUUCUGGGCCGCACGCGCGCUACACUGAUGCAUUCAACGAGUUUUUCCUUGGCCGAGAGGCCUGGGCAAUCUUUUAAACGUGCAUCGUGAUAGGGAUAGAUUAUUGCAAUUAUUAAUCUUGAACGAGGAAUUCCUAGUAAACGCAGAUCAUCAAUCUGCAUUGAUUACGUCCCUGCCCUUUGUACACACCGCCCGUCGCUCCUACCGAUUGAAUGCUCAGGUGAGCCAUUCGGACUUUCAUCAUGCUGGUUUCCAGUUUUGAUGAAGGAAAGUCUUGCGAACCUUAUCAUUUAGAGGAAGGAGAAGUCGUAACA
rnacentral:rRNA from 1 species